rnacentral:lncRNA from 1 species
UUUUUUUUUUUUUUUUUAAGAUUUACUUAUUUUAUUCUAUGUGUAUGAGUAUUUUCCCCCGUGUAUGCGUGUGCACCAUGUGUGUGCCUGGUGCCCCAAAAAGGCCAGAGCAAGGCAUCGGUUCUUCUAGAACUGGAGAAAAUGAUAGUUUUGAGCUGCUUCUCUGGAUGCUGGGAACCUUUGGGAGCAACCAGUGCUCUUCACUGCUGAGCCAUCUCACAGGAGGGCAGGUCCUGAUGGCUUUCUGUAGACAUAGGCGUCUAAAGGCUUAAGGCUUUUAUUGUGAAAAGUGACGGUCUUUGGUGAGUCAUUUUAAUUUAAAACCAGGAAUAUUUGCCAGCAGGACACUCACACACCAGUUUUGCCAGGAACUUCCGCUCCCUUUCUGAGGCUUGGUGGUUUGGGGAGUGAAGGAUUGUCGUUACAUGUGGGUGGUAUGGAUUUAGCUCCUGGGUUGCAUUACCAGGGUGCAUGCCUCGCUCUGAGUACAUAUACCUACGCUUGUUGGCAGUGGCGACAGUUCCUUGGAAGAGUCAUACCAGUCCCCAUUGUUUCUGACCACUUUCCUGAGCUUGGUUAUCUUUGGAAUCCCUGGCUGUAAACCCCGCUUACACACCCAUUCCCAUGGCGUGAGCUAGCUCCUUGGAGCAUGCACUGUCUGAUCGCCCCUCACCAGAGGCACAGCCAGCACUGCCCAUGCGUUCAGAGUGGACGAGGCCUCGUGACCCUCUUCAGGGUUCCUCUUGAUGCCAUUUCCCCAGUUAAUGGAACAAACACCUGCAGAGCCUGAGGUCAUCUCUGCUGUCAGGCAGCUGGGAGGAAGGAAGUGAGACCUGCAGCAGCUCUUGAAGGGGAGGGUUCCUCCUUCCUUGGAUUCUAUCCUGUUCCGAGGUAGCUGGAGACGGAGGAAAGGAAAAGCUGCUGGUUGUGGCACAGCAGAAGCUGUUACCCAGAGGCCUUCCACAGUUACUAGGUGCAUUGUAACUUAACAGAUACAUUGUAACUUAACAGAUACAUUGUAACUUAACAGAGUCUUUGCACAACUUCCCACGUUCCAGUGUGCUGAGAUUAGAGUAGAAAGGGACAGAGUUACUAGGUACAUUGUAACUUAACAGAUACGUGUCUUUGCACAACUUCCCACGUUCCAGUGUGCUGAGAUUAGAGUAGAAAGGGACAGAGUUACUAGGUACAUUGUAACUUAACAGAUACGUGUCUUUGCACAACUUCCCACGUUCCAGUGUGCUGAGAUUAGAGUAGAAAGGGACAGAGUUACUAGGUACAUUGUAACUUAACAGAUACAGUGUCUUUGCACAACUUCCCACGUUCCAGUGUGCUGAGAUUAGAGUAGAAAGGGACAGAGUUACUAGGUACAUUGUAACUUAACAGAUACCCAUGUCUUUGCACAACUUCCCACGUUCCAGUGUGCUGAGAUUAGAGUAGACAGGGACAGUAACCCUACAGCUUUCUCCAGAGUGGUCUCUAGGAGUUCAGCCCAGGAGGCCACUCCUGGAGUUCUAAGCUCAGUAUAACAGUCCAGAAUUAUGAUCCCAAAGCUGGACAAAGAAAUGGGAUUGCUCACAGGCUGAGCCUACUGCCCCUAGGGACAUAAGUGAGAUUAAUGAAUCCUCAUACUGUAGGCCAUCCUGUUGAUAUCUAGUCCUCCAUGAUAGAAGGCUUGAGGCUCCCUAGCUCCCGCAGGUGGCUUGGGAGGCUGAAGCAGAAGACCUGUGGCGAGAGAGAAUUCUGUCUGUCUGUCUGUCUGUCUAUCUAUCUAUCUAUCUAUCUAUCUAUCUAUCUAUCUAUCUAUCAUUUUGUAUGUCUAUGCACCAUGUGCAUGUCUGGUGCCCACAGAGGCCAGAAGAGGGCAUCAGAUCCCUAAAUUGGAGUUAGAGAUGGAGGUGAGCUGCCAUGUGAGUUCUGGGAAUUGAACCCAGAUCUUUUGGAAGAUCAGCCAGUACACUUCACCACUGAGCCAGGAAAUGAUUCUGAGGCAGUAGACUGUGCAGGGAUCGGUCUGGGAGACCCUGCCAGGCCUGCUUUUGAGACGGCUUUGGCCCAUGAUAGUGAAGGGCACUGAGCAGGUCUGUGGCUCAGUGCAGGGGCCAUAUGCAGUUCGUGAGGAAACUGGACUGGCCUUGCCCCAACAAGUGCAUGCCACUGCCUCAGCUUUCUCCUUCCCCUGUUUAACUAGAAUGGCUAACUGUGGUCACAAGGAGUUGAUGCAGCUGCGGAGUGGAGUCAAUGGCGCUCCAGUGGUUCACAUUUCCACCCUGGCCUCCUCCUGUGGGGGAGACUCGAGCUCUGUGGAGGAGAUCCGAGCUCUGAGAACUUCCUGGAUAGGCUUCUUCCUUGAGAUGAGUGGGCCUGAAACUGACAUAUGAGAAAGUAAAACAGCAGUUUCCUUCAGGCAGCGGGGGCCUAGAGCAGCUGUGGGGUUAGUAGGUCACAGAAGAAAGGGCCCUAUGCUGUCCACUCCUGGGGCAGAGGCUUCCUCCUAAUGUCCUUGCUUAGGACACUUCCUGCCAGGACCCAGCCUCGGUAGAAGACCUUUUGGGUAGGAAUUCGAGAGGUGCUUGCACUCUCUCAAGAGCGGAGGAACUCACUUAUAAAUAGACCAAGUCCCCAGACUCUGCAUUACCCACCCCUCUGGGAUUUGACAGAGGCCGAUGGUCCUGGGACAGAUUAGAUUAGAGGAAGAUCCGAAGCCGGAUCCUGUAGGCGAGUUGGUUCCUGACUUAAGGUCUUAGACCAUGACUUGGCCAGGUUUCAGUGUGCCAGCUGUUCUCUGGGGAGGGAUAAAAAGGACCUAUGUCUUUCUCCCCUUCGUUGCGGUCUGCUCCUGCGCACAAAUGAAACCUUACUGGUUCUUGGUCAGAGCUAAGGAGCCUAAGACACAGAUGCUUGCAUAGCUCAACGCUCCCUAGCUGUGUGCUCUGUCCCCUGCUGACACACCACACCGAGGCUUGCUUGCUGCUUGCUUGUGUCACCCAAGGGGACAGACAGUUCAGUCAGUUGGGCCAACCAGCAUUAAACAGGUAUCCGAUUAUAGAACUAUAAAUAUAUACACACAUGUACAUACACACACACAGAGGAAGAGCCAUUGUGAUGUCCUAUGUCUGUAGUCCUAGCUAUUCAGAAGGCUGAGGCAGGAGAAUCGGGUAAAUUUAGGUUUGAGAGCAGCCUAAGUGACAUAGCAAGCUCCUGACCCACAAAUAAAUAAAAAGAAUGAAUUUAAAAAAUUGAUCCUGCAUUGUGGUUGGCAUCUAUCAUCCCAGCACUUGGGGGGCAAAGGGACCGUGAGUUUGAGACCAGGGUGGGCUACCUAGCAAGACUGUGUUUAAUUGGG